rnacentral:rRNA from 1 species
GAUGAACGCUGGCGGCGUGCCUAAUACAUGCCAGUCGAGCGAACAGACGAGGAGCUUGCUCCUCUGACGUUAGCGGCGGACGGGUGAGUAACACGUGGAUAACCUACCUAUAAGACUGGGAUAACUUCGGGAAACCGGAGCUAAUACCGGAUAAUAUAUUGAACCGCAUGGUUCAAUAGUGAAAGACGGUUUUGCUGUCACUUAUAGAUAGAUCCGCGCCGCAUUAGCUAGUUGGUAAGGUAACGGCUUACCAAGGCAACGAUGCGUAGCCGACCUGAGAGGGUGAUCGGCCACACUGGAACUGAGACACGGUCCAGACUCCUACGGGAGGCAGCAGUAGGGAAUCUUCCGCAAUGGGCGAAAGCCUGACGGAGCAACGCCGCGUGAGUGAUGAAGGUCUUCGGAUCGUAAAACUCUGUUAUUAGGGAAGAACAAAUGUGUAAGUAACUAUGCACGUCUUGACGGUACCUAAUCAGAAAGCCACGGCUAACUACGUG